GUAGCGAUUUUCAAAGGAUAAACAUAUAAUAAGUCAUAUAUAAAGGUAUAUAUGCAAAAAAAAAAAUCCUAUUUGUGAGGAAGUGAUAUGAAGAAACAAGAUACAAACACAUAAACAAGAGAUGGAAUUUAUUUAUGAGGAAGCAACUUAUUGUUAACGUCAUUAUUAUUGUUCAAGAGUUCUACAGCAUGCAACUAUUAGUUACGAAUUUACACCAGAAAGGAUCCUCUGCCCAAAAAACAAAUACAUAAUUAAUAAGACGAAGAACAAACUCAGGAAAAUAAGAAGGGGAAUAUUAAGGGGGGAUGGCGUUGUUAUACGCAAUCCAAUGUACUUAUAAGAAGAAGUAGUAGUAGUAUAUUUGUGAGAUGGGAAAGGAUUUUUAUUUUAGAAUCAGGAGUCGGGGUAAUACACAAUCCAGUGUAAUUAACGUCAUGCUGGGGUACGAGCAGCAUAAGAGCAAUAAUAUCCAUCCAAUAGAAGCUCCAUUCCAAAAUGGUUAAAGCAUAAUUCAAAGUAUAUAUAUUUUGCUUGAAAUAAUUAGGUUGCAACAAAGAGAAUAACUUCGACCACAACUCGGCCAGAUCAUGUUGCUUAUACAGCUCGGUCCAAAGCAUUUGGUCAUUCUUGGACCAAGUGAAACAUCCAUGACAAUAUUAUUAGAAAUAAAUCACAGUAACUUAGGCAUCAAUAGGGAUGCCAAAGGAGCAAGGCAAGGACUUGAGGUGGUGCUUGGAAUCAGAAGCCGCAGAACUCGUUCUCAUUGGGCUGGCCAUCUAGCUGGAGUUGGUAGCAACCCUCGGUGCAGGCUCUGGCGCACUCCUCACGUGUGGCGCCUCUGAUCACCAUGCACUUAUCCCUCAUGCAGGGGCAGAAGCAGUCUUCCUUGUCCGCCGCAGCUGGGGCUGCCGACGCCGUGAGCACCAUCACCACGAUCGCCAGAGCAAGAACAGCCUUGUUUGGAGCCAUGGCUUCGUGUCUUUCUUUGAUUCUGGGACUCGGAAUGGUUUCUAGGGAGCGAAGCGAGGAGGGUGGUUGUGGAUGAGAAGCGAGGAGGAGGGAGGGGAGGAUUUAUAAGGAGGUUGUGGAGGGUGUCGUUGUCUUGCGAGCGGUUGGGAGUUUAAAACGCGGAUCGCUUGC
rnacentral:lncRNA from 1 species